GGGAGGUAGUGACAAUAAAUCACAAUGCGGAACUAUUAGUUUUGCAAUUGGAUUGAGAACAAUGUACAAAUGUUAUCGAUAAACAAUUGGAGGGCAAGUCUGGUGCCAGCAGCCGCGGUAAUUCCAGCUCCAAUAGCGUAUAUUAACGUUGUUGCAGUUAAAAAGCUCGUAGUUGAAUUGAAGUGAACUUGGGUUGAUGURAUCUUCGGAUGACAUGAAUCAAAGUUGACUCUUUCCAAAGUCAAUACAUUGGUAUUCAUUUAUCUUUGUAUUGUGUUUGGUCAUUUACUGUGAGAAAAUUAGAGUGUUCAAAGCAGACGUUUGUUUGAAUACAUUAGCAUGGAAUAAUCAUAUAUGGCUUUCAUGUUGAUUUGAUUGGUUUGAAUAUGGAAGCAAGAUUAAAAGGGACAGUUGGGGGUAUUCAUAUUCAAUAGUCAGAGGUGAAAUUCUGGGAUUUAUGGAAGAUGAACAAGUGCGAAAGCA
rnacentral:rRNA from 1 species